AACGCUAGCUACAGGCUUAACACAUGCAAGUCGAGGGGCAGCAUGACCUAGCAAUAGGUUGAUGGCGACCGGCGCACGGGUGAGUAACACGUAUCCAACCUACCGGUUAUUCCGGGAUAGCCUUUCGAAAGAAAGAUUAAUACCGGAUAGUAUAACGAGAAGGCAUCUUCUUGUUAUUAAAGAAUUUCGAUAACCGAUGGGGAUGCGUUCCAUUAGUUUGUUGGCGGGGUAACGGCCCACCAAGACAUCGAUGGAUAGGGGUUCUGAGAGGAAGGUCCCCCACAUUGGAACUGAGACACGGUCCAAACUCCUACGGGAGGCAGCAGUGAGGAAUAUUGGUCAAUGGACGAGAGUCCGAACCAGCCAAGUAGCGUGAAGGAUGACUGCCCUAUGGGUUGUAAACUUCUUUUAUAUGGGAAUAAAGUGAGCCACGUGUGGCUUUUUGUAUGUACCAUACGAAUAAGGAUCGGCUAACUCCGUGCCAGCAGCCGCGGUAAUACGGAGGAUCCGAGCGUUAUCCGGAUUUAUUGGGUUUAAAGGGAGCGUAGGCGGACUAUUAAGUCAGCUGUGAAAGUUUGCGGCUCAACCGUAAAAUUGCAGUUGAUACUGGUCGUCUUGAGUGCAGUAGAGGUAGGCGGAAUUCGUGGUGUAGCGGUGAAAUGCUUAGAUAUCACGAAGAACUCCGAUUG
rnacentral:rRNA from 1 species